CGUGGUCGACAGACGGCUAUAGUUUUUACAGUCUAAUUGAAGACGAUUAAUUCAUAAAAGUCACUAAAUCGCGGUCUAAGAUCUAGUACAAGAACGGGGAUCGGAAAUAAAAACUUGGGUUGUGACGCGUUUGUCGGUUCAGCCACAUUUCUAAAUGGUUAUUUGGCAGAACUGCAGAAGAGUUGUUAACCAGGUAUCUCGGACGAAAAUUGGCCGAAAUGGGUGCAAACUUUCUCAUCUCGAAACGAAAAACACGUGGUUUCAAGGACGGGGUAUAAAAUCCCGACCGAGAAAAUGGAAAACGCAAGGGAGUCGAUGUGGGAAUUCACACCGGAAGUCUUUCUCUGCACGUCUCUACCGCCUGGU